GCUUGCUUUCUUUGCUGGCGACCGGCGCACGGGUGAGUAACACGUAUCCAACCUACCCUUUACUCGGGGAUAGCCUUUCGAAAGAAAGAUUAAUACCCGAUAGCAUAAUGAUUCCGCAUGGUUUCAUUAUUAAAGGAUUCCGGUAAAGGAUGGGGAUGCGUUCCAUUAGGUUGUUGGCGGGGUAACGGCCCACCAAGCCUUCGAUGGAUAGGGGUUCUGAGAGGAAGGUCCCCCACAUUGGAACUGAGACACGGUCCAAACUCCUACGGGAGGCAGCAUG
rnacentral:rRNA from 1 species